CAUUCUUGAAAGCCUUCAUAUUCCCCGUCUAACGAUGGGAACUGUUUCUGAUUGUGUUGACUAUAAAUGCUUGUAUGGUAAUUCUGUUGUUUAGCUGUACAAGCGGUUGCAUUUCAUCUCCUUUCCCAACAAACAAACGAACGAAACGCUACUAGUCUGCUUUCUCUGGAGCUCAUCCUCAAUGGCUCUUAUACGUCAGGAAACUUACAUGUAUACUAAUAAUGAUUGUUUCAAGAACAACGAUGUAUGGACGAACUAUUCUAAAUUCGUCAAUAUC
rnacentral:lncRNA from 1 species